UAUAUUGGACAAUGGGCGAAAGCCUGAUCCAUCCAUGCCGCGUGUGUGAGGAAGUUCUUUGUAUUGUAAAGCAUUUUAUGUUGGGCGGUAGGGUAGUAAGUUAUUACCUUGCUGUGUUGCCGUUACCGACAGAAUAAGCACCGGUUAACUUAGUGCCAGCAGCCGCGGUAAUACGAAGGGUGCAAGCGUUAAUCGGAAUUACUGGGCGUAAAGCGCGCGUAGGUGGUUUGUUAAGUUGGAAGUGAAAGCCCCGGGAUCAACCUGGGAACUGCUUUCAAAACUGGCAAGCUAGAGUAUGGCAGAGGGUGGUGGAAUUUCCUGUGUAGCGGUGAAAUGCGUAGAUAUAGGAAGGAACACCAGUGGCGAAGGCGACCACCUGGGCUAAUACUGACACUGAGGUGCGAAAGCGUGGGGAGCAAACA
rnacentral:rRNA from 1 species